UAAAUUGAGAGUUUGAUCCUGGCUCAGGAUGAACGCUGGCGGCGUGCUUAACACAUGCAAGUCGAGCGAUGAAGUUUCCUUCGGGAAACAGAUUAGCGGCGGACGGGUGAGUAACACGUGGGUAACCUGCCUCAUA
rnacentral:rRNA from 1 species